AUCUCCCAAUUCUCUAUCCGAAUCCCAAUUUUUGUGUCCAGAAACCUCUCCCAAAAUCUUAAAAUAAGACAAUAUUUAGAGGGUCUCAAACUCUCUUCUCCUUCCUCCUCAAAAAUCCGAAAAUCAUCCACUACCAAGUAGGUGUGUGGUUGAAUACAAGGUAGGGUGUGGCUGCUAAGGUUUGUAUAGGUUAGGGCUUUGGGAAAAUAAUUUUUAUGGGGUGUGAGAAGGAAUAAUAGUCAUUA
rnacentral:lncRNA from 1 species